rnacentral:rRNA from 1 species
GGGUUGUGAGGUUAAGCGACUAAGCGUACACGGUGGAUGCCCUGGCAGUCAGAGGCGAUGAAGGACGUGCUAAUCUGCGAUAAGCGUCGGUAAGGUGAUAUGAACCGUUAUAACCGGCGAUUUCCGAAUGGGGAAACCCAGUGUGUUUCGACACACUAUCAUUACGUGAAUACAUAGCGUAAUGAAGCGAACCGGGGGAACUGAAACAUCUAAGUACCCCGAGGAAAAGAAAUCAACCGAGAUUCCCCCAGUAGCGGCGAGCGAACGGGGAGCAGCCCAGAGUCUGAAUCAGCUUGUGUGUUAGUGGAACGGUCUGGAAAGUCCGACGGUACAGGGUGAUAGUCCCGUACACCAAAAUGCACAGGUUGUGAACUCGAAGAGUAGGGCGGGACACGUGGUAUCCUGUCUGAAUAUGGGGGGACCAUCCUCCAAGGCUAAAUACUCCUGACUGACCGAUAGUGAACCAGUACCGUGAGGGAAAGGCGAAAAGAACCCCGGCGAGGGGAGUGAAAAAGAACCUGAAACCGUGUACGUACAAGCAGUGGGAGCCUCUUUAUGGGGUGACUGCGUACCUUUUGUAUAAUGGGUCAGCGACUUAUAUUCUGUAGCAAGGUUAACCGUAUAGGGGAGCCGAAGGGAAACCGAGUCUUAACUGGGCGUUAAGUUGCAGGGUAUAGACCCGAAACCCGGUGAUCUAGCCAUGGGCAGGUUGAAGGUUGGGUAACACUAACUGGAGGACCGAACCGACUAAUGUUGAAAAAUUAGCGGAUGACUUGUGGCUGGGGGUGAAAGGCCAAUCAAACCGGGAGAUAGCUGGUUCUCCCCGAAAGCUAUUUAGGUAGCGCCUCGUGAAUUCAUCUUCGGGGGUAGAGCACUGUUUCGGCUAGGGGGUCAUCCCGACUUACCAACCCGAUGCAAACUGCGAAUACCGAAGAAUGUUAUCACGGGAGACACACGGCGGGUGCUAACGUCCGUCGUGAAGAGGGAAACAACCCAGACCGCCAGCUAAGGUCCCAAAGUCAUGGUUAAGUGGGAAACGAUGUGGGAAGGCACAGACAGCCAGGAUGUUGGCUUAGAAGCAGCCAUCAUUUAAAGAAAGCGUAAUAGCUCACUGGUCGAGUCGGCCUGCGCGGAAGAUGUAACGGGGCUAAACCAUGCACCGAAGCUGCGGCAGCGACACUAUGUGUUGUUGGGUAGGGGAGCGUUCUGUAAGCCGUUGAAGGUGUGCUGUGAGGCAUGCUGGAGGUAUCAGAAGUGCGAAUGCUGACAUAAGUAACGAUAAUGCGGGUGAAAAACCCGCACGCCGGAAGACCAAGGGUUCCUGUCCAACGUUAAUCGGGGCAGGGUGAGUCGACCCCUAAGGCGAGGCCGAAAGGCGUAGUCGAUGGGAAACAGGUUAAUAUUCCUGUACUUGGUGUUACUGCGAAGGGGGGACGGAGAAGGCUAUGUUAGCCGGGCGACGGUUGUCCCGGUUUAAGCAUGUAGGCGGAGGUUCCAGGUAAAUCCGGUACCUUUUAACGCUGAGGUGUGAUGACGAGGCACUACGGUGCUGAAGUAACAAAUGCCCUGCUUCCAGGAAAAGCCUCUAAGCAUCAGGUAACACGAAAUCGUACCCCAAACCGACACAGGUGGUCAGGUAGAGAAUACCAAGGCGCUUGAGAGAACUCGGGUGAAGGAACUAGGCAAAAUGGUGCCGUAACUUCGGGAGAAGGCACGCUGAUAUGUAGGUGAAGUGAUUUACUCAUGGAGCUGAAAUCAGUCGAAGAUACCAGCUGGCUGCAACUGUUUAUUAAAAACACAGCACUGUGCAAACACGAAAGUGGACGUAUACGGUGUGACGCCUGCCCGGUGCCGGAAGGUUAAUUGAUGGGGUUAUCCGUAAGGAGAAGCUCUUGAUCGAAGCCCCGGUAAACGGCGGCCGUAACUAUAACGGUCCUAAGGUAGCGAAAUUCCUUGUCGGGUAAGUUCCGACCUGCACGAAUGGCGUAAUGAUGGCCAGGCUGUCUCCACCCGAGACUCAGUGAAAUUGAACUCGCUGUGAAGAUGCAGUGUACCCGCGGCAAGACGGAAAGACCCCGUGAACCUUUACUAUAGCUUGACACUGAACACUGGUCCUUGAUGUGUAGGAUAGGUGGGAGGCUUUGAAGUGUGGACGCCAGUCUGCAUGGAGCCAUCCUUGAAAUACCACCCUUUAAUGGCUGGUGUUCUAACGUGGACCCGUUACCCGGGUUGCGGACAGUGUCUGGUGGGUAGUUUGACUGGGGCGGUCUCCUCCUAAAGAGUAACGGAGGAGCACGAAGGUUAGCUAAUCCUGGUCGGACAUCAGGAGGUUAGUGCAAAGGCAUAAGCUAGCUUGACUGCGAGAGUGACGGCUCGAGCAGGUGCGAAAGCAGGUCUUAGUGAUCCGGUGGUUCUGAAUGGAAGGGCCAUCGCUCAACGGAUAAAAGGUACUCCGGGGAUAACAGGCUGAUACCGCCCAAGAGUUCAUAUCGACGGCGGUGUUUGGCACCUCGAUGUCGGCUCAUCACAUCCUGGGGCUGAAGUAGGUCCCAAGGGUAUGGCUGUUCGCCAUUUAAAGUGGUACGCGAGCUGGGUUUAGAACGUCGUGAGACAGUUCGGUCCCUAUCUGCCGUGGGCGCUGGAGAAUUGAGGGGGGCUGCUCCUAGUACGAGAGGACCGGAGUGGACGCAUCACUGGUGUUCGGGUUGUCAUGCCAAUGGCAUUGCCCGGUAGCUAAAUGCGGAAGAGAUAAGUGCUGAAAGCAUCUAAGCACGAAACUUGCCCCGAGAUGAGUUCUCCCUGAGACUUUAAGUCUCCUGAAGGAACGUUAAAGACUAUGACGUUGAUAGGUCGGGUGUGUAAGUGUAGCGAUACAUUGAGCUAACCGAUACUAAUGAACCGUGAGGCUUAACCUUACAACGCCGAAG